GAUGAACGCUGACGGCGUGCCUAAUACAUGCAAGUCGAGCGAACGGACGAGAAUCUUGCUUCUCUGAUGUUAGCGGCGGACGGGUGAGUAACACUUGGAUAACCUACCUAUAAGACUGGGAUAACUUCGGGAAACCGGAGCUAAUACCGGAUAAUAUUUUGAACCGCAUUGUUCAAAAGUGAAAGACGGUCUUGCUGUCACUUAUAGAUGGAUCCGCGCUGCAUUAGCUAGUUGGUAAGGUAACGGCUUACCAAGGCAACGAUGCAUAGCCGACCUGAGAGGGUGAUCGGCCACACGGGAACUGAGACACGGUCCAGACUCCUACGGGAGGCAGCAGUAGGGAAUCUUCCGCAAUGGGCGAAAGCCUGACGGAGCAACGCCGCGUGAGUGAUGAAGGUCUUCGGAUCGUAAAACUCUGUUAUUAGGGAAGAACAUAUGUGUAAGUAACUGUGCACAUAUUGACGGUACCUAAUCAGAAAGCCACGGCUAACUACGUG
rnacentral:rRNA from 1 species